rnacentral:rRNA from 1 species
AUUGAACGCUGGCGGCAGGCUUAACACAUGCAAGUCGAGCGGGGUGAUGGUGCUUGCACUAUCACUUAGCGGCGGACGGGUGAGUAAUGCUUAGGAAUCUGCCUAUUAGUGGGGGACAACAUCUCGAAAGGGAUGCUAAUACCGCAUACGUCCUACGGGUGAAAGCAGGGGAUCACUUGUGACCUUGCGCUAAUAGAUGAGCCUAAGUCGGAUUAGCUAGUUGGUGGGGUAAAGGCCUACCAAGGCGACGAUCUGUAGCGGGUCUGAGAGGAUGAUCCGCCACACUGGGACUGAGACACGGCCCAGACUCCUACGGGAGGCAGCAGUGGGGAAUGUUGGACAAUGGGGGGAACCCUGAUCCUGCCAUGCCGCGUGUGUGAAGAAGGCCUUAUGGUUGUAAAGCACUUUAAGCGAGGAGGAGGCUCUUUUGGUUAAUACCCAAGAUGAGUGGACGUUACUCGCAGAAUAAGCACCGGCUAACUCUGUGCCAGCCGCCGCCGUAA